rnacentral:rRNA from 1 species
AUUGAACGCUGGCGGCAGGCCUAACACAUGCAAGUCGAGCGGCAGCACGGGUACUUGUACCUGGUGGCGAGCGGCGGACGGGUGAGUAAUGCCUAGGAAUCUGCCUGGUAGUGGGGGAUAACGUCCGGAAACGGGCGCUAAUACCGCAUACGUCCUACGGGAGAAAGUGGGGGAUCUUCGGCCCUCACGCUAUUCGAUGAGCCUAGGUCGGAUUCUCUAGUUGGUGAGGUAAUGGCUCACCAAGGCGACGAUCCGUAACUGGUCUGAGAGGAUGAUCAGUCAGACUGGAACUGAGACACGGUCCAGACUCCUACGGGAGGCAGCAGUGGGGAAUAUUGGACAAUGGGCGAAAGCCUGAUCCAGCCAUGCCGCGUGUGUGAAGAAGGUCUUCGGAUUGUAAAGCACUUUAAGUUGGGAGGAAGGGCAGUUACCUAAUACGUGAUUGUUUUGACGUUACCGACAGAAUAAGCACCGGCUAACUCUGUGCCAGCCGCCGCAGUAA